rnacentral:rRNA from 1 species
UGAGUAAUGCUUAGGAAUCUGCCUAUUAGUGGGGGACAACAUCUCGAAAGGGAUGCUAAUACCGCAUACGUCCUACGGGAGAAAGCAGGGGAUCACUUGUGACCUUGCGCUAAUAGAUGAGCCUAAGUCGGAUUAGCUAGUUGGUGGGGUAAAGGCCUACCAAGGCGACGAUCUGUAGCGGGUCUGAGAGGAUGAUCCGCCACACUGGGACUGAGACACGGCCCAGACUCCUACGGGAGGCAGCAGUGGGGAAUAUUGGACAAUGGGGGGAACCCUGAUCCAGCCAUGCCGCGUGUGUGAAGAAGGCCUUAUGGUUGUAAAGCACUUUAAGCGAGGAGGAGGCUCUUUUGGUUAAUACCCAAGAUGAGUGGACGUUACUCGCAGAAUAAGCACCGGCUAACUCUGUGCCAGCAGCCGCGGUAAUACAGAGGGUGCAAGCGUUAAUCGGAUUUACUGGGCGUAAAGCGCGCGUAGGCGGCCAAUUAAGUCAAAUGUGAAAUCCCCGAGCUUAACUUGGGAAUUGCAUUCGAUACUGGUUGGCUAGAGUGUGGGAGAGGAUGGUAGAAUUCCAGGUGUAGCGGUGAAAUGCGUAGAGAUCUGGAGGAAUACCGAUGGCGAAGGCAGCCAUCUGGCCUAACACUGACGCUGAGGUGCGAAAGCAUGGGGAGCAAACAGGAUUAGAUACCCUGGUAGUCCAUGCCGUAAACGAUGUCUACUAGCCGUUGGGGCCUUUGAGGCUUUAGUGGCGCAGCUAACGCGAUAAGUAGACCGCCUGGGGAGUACGGUCGCAAGACUAAAACUCAAAUGAAUUGACGGGGGCCCGCACAAGCGGUGGAGCAUGUGGUUUAAUUCGAUGCAACGCGAAGAACCUUACCUGGCCUUGACAUAGUAGAAACUUUCCAGAGAUGGAUUGGUGCCUUCGGGAAUCUACAUACAGGUGCUGCAUGGCUGUCGUCAGCUCGUGUCGUGAGAUGUUGGGUUAAGUCCCGCAACGAGCGCAACCCUUUUCCUUACUUGCCAGCAUUUCGGAUGGGAACUUUAAGGAUACUGCCAGUGACAAACUGGAGGAAGGCGGGGACGACGUCAAGUCAUCAUGGCCCUUACGGCCAGGGCUACACACGUGCUACAAUGGUCGGUACAAAGGGUUGCUACCU